rnacentral:misc_RNA from 1 species
UUGAGUAACAGACGGAGCGGCAGGACGAGAAAGGUCGUACGCGCGGUGUGCGCGGUUCGGAAUGGAACAGCGUGGGAUCGGUGAGGGAGGUGUGGAAGAGGGGUGAGUACACCUGGGUCGAACGCGCACGAUUGGUGGGGGAAGUCGUUGUCCUCGGGAGUGUUCGUCGCGUGAGUCCGUGAGCGAGCAGUGUCGCCAGUACGACGCGGAACGCGUUCUUGUCGCUAUCGGUGAUUUUUUCGUGUGUAUGUGCGUGUAUUUCGUGUGUGUGUGUGUGUGUGUGGGUGUAUUGAUGCAUGCGCUCGCUCGCGCGGCGUGAUAUCUACUUGUCGCCUUGUUCCGCGAGCGUGUGUCUUCUGUCAAAAUCGUCGUUGCCGCUGACGGCUCAUAUCGACAUGUCAAAAACGAUUGUCCCUUUGGCUCUGUGACACGUGUGCGUGCGUACGUGUGCUGUGUAUGUGCGUGUGUGUCCUGCUGUAUGUGUAUGUAUAUAUACAUGUACGUAUCCUAGAUGCCAGGAUGUGUCAUGCAUGGCGAGCAGCGUCAUGCAGCGGUGAGAGUCGAUGACAUUCUUGGGCUUCAUCAUUCUCGGGCGGUGCGCGUCGUCGGGACGCAGGAUCGCGGCGACGGAGACGCCCGUGAUUAACGGCAGUACUUUUAGAGCAACAACACACAACGGUUAGGCUUGAUCGGCCGUAGGAAAGUGACCGCAGGUGGUAGUCGUCGAAGAAAAACAACAAGGGCAAAAACAAAGAUAACGACGACGACGGCGAAGAGAAGUCGAUCUGCCGUCGAAGGUGAGGCGAGGUGGAGUCCGGUGAAAAAAAGAAGAAAAAAAGAAAGGUUGAAAGCGGUGCGGAAGGGACAUCGUGAGGGAGAAGGAGAGAAAAAAGGCAAUGGUGGUAAUGUUGGAAGUAGUGGUAAAGGAAAGAAAGAGGUCGAAAAGUUGAGUGACCUAUGAUUUAUGAGUAGAUGGUAAGGAAAGGACAACAAGGUGGAGUUACGUAGGCGGAUAAGGAAUAAAAAGAAGACUAUCGAGAAAGGACGGAGAAAUGAUCUUGGUAGGUGACUGGCAAAGUACGAUGAUCGAUUUCUCGACGAAAGGCAGAUAGCGUCACAACUAGUUGUCGCUAGGGCACAAAAUAUCGAGCUCAUGCGCGUUGUGGCCCUAGCUGUGGAUGAGGAGGGAGAGGAAGACGACGAAGAGGAAGAAGACAAAGAGAAGGAGGAGGAAAGAAAGGAGAAGAAAGAGACCGGAGAGCCAACAGCGACGGAACAAAGGAGAUACAAGAGACACCACUGGGUCCACGGGCCUGCGAUGCGCCCCGUGGUAACAACGGUAGUAGGGGAUAAGAAUCGACGGCCUAAUACAGCGUGUUUGAUUUUCUUUGUGCCGUCAUCACCACCGCUGCUACUGUUGUUGCUGUUGCUGCUAUUGCCCACUUGGAUUUUGACGAUCGUCGUCGAUGCGUCGCCCGUUCAUCCCAUUCCAUUGCAUAAAGGCAUUACACUUGGUUCGUACAUUAAGUACUACGAGGCAGCUACAUAUGACACUGCAGCCUUGAGACGACAUCGCAAUCGGAUACGUCGUGAUGUUGCCGAUCCUGUUGACGAGCAACCAUUGAUUUUACAUUUGAAGACACAUGGGAGAUCCUGGACAAUACGCUUAGUUCACGAUGCGAAUUUAUUCAGUAAGGAUGUAUCGUUUGAAGGUACGAACGGGCCAAUAUCCUUCGACACAUCGCAUUCUUACACCGGUACCGUUCUAGAGGAUGAAAGCGCUGUAGUGCAGGGUGUCGUUACUAAAGAGGGUCUUUUUGACGGUAGCGUCAUGACCAGAUUUGAAGAGUAUUACAUAGAGCCGACAAACAGGUAUCUGAAUAAAAAUGAAGACACGUCACCACUAUAUCACAGCAUAGCUUAUCGUACCUCCGAUGUUAUCAUCCCACCUCAUCCAUUAUCGUGUGCUAGUCAUCAAUUGCAUCAAGGAACUUUUCGCAAUUCCGUUGAUAGGUAUAGAUAUAACAAUUCUGAAGAAUUCUACGAGCCUUUGUUCGAACAACAUGAUGGUAUCUUCUUCAAGCGGAACGACGCGGAAGUGUUAACAUCAGAAAAAAAUGACAAUAUUGCAUAUACAGACAUGAUAAAGGGAAGAGAUCGGAUUACGAGGCAUCUGCACAAACGUGCGACGGUAGAUCCCCGGAAAACUACUUGCAUGCUUUAUUUGCAAGGGGACCAUCAAUUUUUCGCGCGAUAUGGCACGGAGGAAGCCUGUAUCGAAGUGAUGACGAGGCAUGUGCAGAGAGUCAACUCUAUUUACAAACACACCGAUUUUAAUCAAGAUGGACAACCGGAUAAUAUUGGUUUUAUGAUAAAACGCAUAAAAGUGCACAGUGAAGACGCAUUGAGAGAUCCUAAUUAUCGUUUUCCGGGCAAUUAUGGCGUAGAAAAAUAUUUGGAACUUUUCUCCGAGGAAGACUAUGACACAUUUUGUCUAGCUUACAUGUUUACAUAUCGGGAUUUCGAGAUGGGAACUUUGGGCUUGGCUUGGACAGGCGAUCUCAAAAAUGCCGGAGGUGUAUGUGAAAAGAACGGACUUUAUCGUGGCAGCAUGAAGUCCUUAAACACCGGCAUAGUUACUUUGUUGAAUUACGGAAAGCAUGUACCACCUGCGGUUUCUCACGUUACUUUAGCUCACGAGAUUGGCCACAAUUUUGGCUCACCACAUGAUCCUGAAGAAUGUACACCGGGUGGCGAGGAUGGCAAUUUUAUAAUGUUCGCCCGUGCUACUAGUGGUGACAAGCGCAACAACAACCGCUUCAGUCCGUGUAGUUUGAAUUCUAUAAAUCCUGUACUGAACAGUAAGGCACGUUCGCUGAAAGGGUGCUUUACCGAUCCGAAAGUAUCGCUGUGUGGCAAUGGCGUUGUAGAAGAAGGGGAAGAAUGCGAUUGCGGUUGGGAGGAAGAUUGCAGAGACUUGUGCUGUUUCCCUCAGCGUCGUUACCAACUGCCCGAGGAGCCCCCGUGCAAACUUACUUCACGCGCCGUGUGCAGCCCUAGUCAAGGUCCGUGCUGUAAUACUGAUUGUACUCUCCGUUUCGGGAAUAAGUGCAGAGAAGACAACGGUUGCCGCGAUGCAAGCUUCUGCAAUGGCCGUUCUCCAAAUUGUCCACCAUCCAAUAAUAAGCCUAAUAAAACUAUAUGCAACAGUGAGCUGGUUUGCUUCAUGGGGGAGUGCACUGGUAGCAUUUGCUUAGCAUAUGGAUUAGAAUCCUGUCAAUGCAUACCAGGUUCAAAUGACUCACCGAUGAAAGCUUGCGAGCUCUGUUGUCGACAUCCUGGUGAAAAUCAACCGUGUCUAUCGUCCUUUGAUUGGAAUUCUCCACCAUAUGAUAUCCCCGAUAUGUUUUCAAAACCGGGCACUCCCUGCAACGAUUACAAUGGUUACUGUGAUGUCUUUAAAAAAUGUCGUGAGGUUGAUCCUAGUGGGCCAUUAGCAACUUUAAGAAAGCUUCUUUUAUCCGAUGAGAGUCUUACCACUUUCAAGCGGUGGGUAGCUGAACAUUGGUAUGCCGCAGCUCUAAUAAUUUUAGCGGCAAUAUCAUUAUUGGUGGUCAGCAUAAGAUUGUUGGGCAAGCGACCGGAUCUGAAAUUAAAGUCUGUUACAAUAAUCCAUAGUUCUACGACGGAAACAGUGCGACUUCCGCCAGAAGGUGCGGAAGGUGUUACUGUGCAUCCGCCAGCGGUGCGUGCUAAACUUCCUCUUAAUAGGAAGGUUCGAGAAAAAAGACGUCAUCGCAAACACAAAAAUGGUAGUCACACCGAUAAAUUUAAUAGGGAUGUUGCGACAAAGAAAAAACAAUCAAAUCAGAUGAAGAAAUCGUCUACUGGUGCAGCGACGGACGAUUUUACGCGCAAGAGGUCAGCCGAAAUUACUCUAGCGGUUACACAGGAAAACAAACGAAAAAAAAUUAUGUCUACGGCCAGAGAUAAAACACAAAGCGGUGAUAAUAACGCUGUUGGUGGCGGUGAUAAUGAUAAACGGAAGCGCAAGAAGCAUCACAGAAAGGAAGUGAUUGAUUAUUCAAUGAUUCAGACAGAAAAAGAUUCUGAACCAAACACUGAUCCUAAAAGUAAAGUGCGUUCUUGGUUAUUGGCAUCCUCACAAUGUAGACUACCAGAGACUGUAAGGACUAAUGCUACCGGUUUGCCAAAAAGCAAGUCAACUCCGGUAGGUUUGACGGCCGGUGGUGGAGGCGGCAUCAGAGCGUCUGUGUCAAAACAAGCACCAUCCGCACGACGUGUUGGCGCAGAAACUAAAGAGUCGAAGAACUUGUCGUCUGGUUCAAACGCCAAGAAGGAACGCGCAAGACUUCAAGUGGUGUAUAAGCCGCCGUUCCGCUUUAGCGUGAAAUUACGCAAGUCUGAUAAAGUAGCGCAAGCUCCGCAGGCAAUUGUUUCAUCAAGUGCCGUGACGACAAAUCAUACUAAUAUCGGUAAAACGGCAGUAGCUAAGCUACCGAGAGCCGGCGUGCUCCUAAGGACGGCAACCAAGAGAAAGGAUAGAGUCAGGAUAGGCAGAGCACGACAAAUUGCCCCUACCGGCAUAGGGAAUGGCGGUGGAGAUCUGCCAGAGCUAGCUAACUCUGACUUGCAUACUGUACCCUCCGAUUUGGAAGUGCUUCUCUCUGAGAGCGAGUUCCUCUUCUCGGACACGUGACCAUGGGUCUCAGUGACGGGCAUGUUUAUUUCACUACACAACUAAGUAAUCUUUUCUACAAAGCAACGAAUGUUGGUGCGUGAUUGACAAAUGGAAUUUACAAUUCUAUGGUAAAUUUACGGAAGUACCGAUGACAGUUAGACGAUCAAGCCAGUUCUCUUCUUCCAAAGAAAGGGGCCAAAUCCAUUGUUCAAGAAUGACUGCCGCUGACUUGCAUAAGUGCUAAUUUAUGUAUUCUUGUAUACCGAAAUACUACGAAGCAGUCUUACGUCUCGCUAUUGGUUUUUAAUCGCAGCUUUAAAUUUCAGGGAUCAGUGCGCAACCAUUGCAAUUUCGAAACGCAAAAUGCUGUAUUUUGAGAGUGAAAGUAAAAUACUUUAUCUCUAAUCUCUUUAUACCGUGCCUACUGUUACUAUAUUCUUUUUUUUGACUCUUAAGAAAGAUAAAUGUCUAAACAAGAAAAUAAAAUUUUCUUUUCUAGGACGAUAUACAUAAUAUUGGUCGUGAAUAGAUGACGAACGGUAAAUUGUAUCGGUGAAUUCUCUUCAUUUAUUUGUCGCUUUUCUCCACAUUAUAGCCUUAGUUAUGAUGUAAU